rnacentral:rRNA from 1 species
AGUGAACGCUGGCGGUAGGCCUAACACAUGCAAGUCGAACGGCAGCACAGUAAGAGCGUGCUCUGACGGGGGGCGAGUGGCGGACGUGUGAGGAAUACAUCGUAAUCUACUUUUUCGUGGGGGAUAACGUAGGGAAACUUACGAUAAUACCGCAUACGACCUACGGGUGAAGGCAGGGGAUCUUCUCACCUUGCGCGGUUGAAUGAGCCGAUGUCGGUUUAGCUAGUUGGCGGGGUAAAGGCCCACCAAGGCGAGGAUCCGUAGCUGGUCUGAGUGGAUGGUCACCGACCUUGGAGCUGGGCCACGGUCCAGGGUCCUACGAGAGGCCGCAGUGGGGAAUGGGGGACAGUGGGCGCAAGCCUGAUCCAGUCGGCCCGAGUCUGUGAAGGCGGCCUUCGGGUCGUAAAGCCCGUCUGUUGGGAAAGAACAGCAGCAGGCUAAUACCAAGCUGUUGUGACGGUAAUCAAAGAAUAAGCACCGGCUAACUUCGUG